UGGGGAAUAUUGCACAAUGGGCGCAAGCCUGAUGCAGCAACGCCGCGUGAACGAUGAAGGUCUUCGGAUCGUAAAGUUCUGUUGCAGGGGAAGAUAAUGACGGUACCCUGUGAGGAAGCCCCGGCUAACUACGUGCCAGCAGCCGCGGUAAUACGUAGGGGGCUAGCGUUGUCCGGAAUCAUUGGGCGUAAAGGGUACGUAGGCGGGUAAGCAAGUUAGAAGUGAAAUCCUAUAGCUCAACUAUAGUAAGCUUUUAAAACUGCUCAUCUUGAGGUAUGGAAGGGAAAGUGGAAUUCCUAGUGUAGCGGUGAAAUGCGCAGAUAUUAGGAGGAAUACCGGUGGCGAAGGCGACUUUCUGGCCAUAACCUGACGCUGAGGUACGAAAGCGUGGGUAGCAAACAGG
rnacentral:rRNA from 1 species